AGGGGUCAUAAGUCAUGAUUCAGCAAGGUCUUCUAGCGUACAUAGAUAUUCAUAGGAUCGUCAGGGUAUGAGAGCGUUUGUUCAAGUCAAGUGAGCUAUCUACCAAGUGGGAUGAUUACGAGAGUGACUGUGUCAGUGUGUAGGUGUGUCCAAGUAGCAGAUUGGACUGAAGACUGCAGAUAAGGUCAGUUCCUCCCAGCUUCUGGGGGCUCUCUUCCAACCAUGCCCCAUUGUGUGCAAGAAGCAUUUUAAAUAAAUCAUUGACUGCAUAGUUACUGUGCAUUUGUUGGUGUUUUUUGGGGGCCGGGAAUUCUUGCUUUAAAUGUUGCACCAUUUCCCCUUGGCCAGGAUGUA